AUUGAACGCUGGCGGCAGGCCUAACACAUGCAAGUCGAGCGGCAGCGGGAAAGUAGCUUGCUACUUUUGCCGGCGAGCGGCGGACGGGUGAGUAAUGCCUGGGAAAUUGCCCAGUCGAGGGGGAUAACAGUUGGAAACGACUGCUAAUACCGCAUACGCCCUACGGGGGAAAGCAGGGGACCUUCGGGCCUUGCGCGAUUGGAUAUGCCCAGGUGGGAUUAGCUAGUUGGUGAGGUAAUGGCUCACCAAGGCGACGAUCCCUAGCUGGUCUGAGAGGAUGAUCAGCCACACUGGAACUGAGACACGGUCCAGACUCCCACGGGAGGCAGCAGUGGGGAAUAUUGCACAAUGGGGGAAGCCCUGAUGCAGCCAUGCCGCGUGUGUGAAGAAGGCCUUCGGGUUGUAAAGCACUUUCAGCGAGGAGGAAAGGUUGAUGCCUAAUACGUAUCAACUGUGACGUUACUCGCAGAAGAAGCACCGGCUAACUCCGUGCCAGCAGCCGCCGUAAAAC
rnacentral:rRNA from 1 species